rnacentral:rRNA from 1 species
GACGAACGCUGGCGGCGUGCUUAACACAUGCAAGUCGAACGGUGAAGGGACCAGCUUGCUGGUUCUGGAUGAGUGGCGAACGGGUGAGUAACACGUGAGUAACCUGCCCCCUUCUUCUGGAUAACCGCAUGAAAGUGUGGCUAAUACGGGAUAUUCUGGGUCUGUCGCAUGGCGGGCCCGGGAAAGAUAUUGCUUCGGUGGGGGAUGGGCUCGCGGCCUAUCAGCUUGUUGGUGGGGUGAUGGCCUACCAAGGCGGUGACGGGUAGCCGGCCUGAGAGGGUGGACGGUCACACUGGGACUGAGACACGGCCCAGACUCCUACGGGAGGCAGCAGUGGGGAAUAUGGCACAAUGGGCGCAAGCCUGAUGCAGCGACGCCGCGUGAGGGAUGGAGGCCUUCGGGUUGUAAACCUCUUUCGCCAGUGAAGCAGGCCUGCUCCUUGUGGGUGGGUUGACGGUAGCUGGAUAAGAAGCGCCGGCUAACUACGUG